AACCAUAGAAACCUGCGGAGUACCUGCGGAGGGAUCAUUACAAAAAAAAGACCCAAAGGGGUUUUUGGGCUCCGGGCCCAAGAAUACCCAACCAACCUCUUGUGCACUGUUUCCUGUUUGCUUUGGCAGUAGCUUUGGCUUUUUUUUUUUAAAAAAAAGUCAACUUCCCACUGGCUCUAUCUUUUUUUUUUCCCCCUCUUUUCACAGAGAGUAAAGGAAAAAAAGACAGCUAGUGGUGAA
rnacentral:misc_RNA from 1 species